rnacentral:misc_RNA from 1 species
AACGCACAUUGCGCCCUUUGGUAUUCCGAAGGGCAUGCCUGUUCGAGCGUCAUUAUCACCUCUCAAACCCCGUGUUUGCUGUUGGACCCGAGUCCCGCGCGAGCGUGGACUGGUCCCAAAGAUAAUGACGGCGUCCGCGUGGACCCCCGGUGCAACGAGCUUUUCUUUUGAAGCGCGCGUCGAGAGGGAACCGCGGUACGGCCGGUCGACACCUUUUUCUUUUUACAAGGUUGACCUCGGAUCAGGUAGGAAUACCCGCUGAACUUAA